GGCGGUUUCCGAGUUUACGUUGUAAACUCGUUUAUUUAUUGCGCUUUCUCAACUCUCGUUUGCGAAAGCGCUGCUAAAAAGUUUUUCGGAAGCUGACGCUUUCUGCAAAACUUUUUAUAGGA
rfam:Treponema maltophilum ATCC 51939 genomic scaffold aczIZ-supercont-complete, whole genome shotgun sequence.